rnacentral:rRNA from 1 species
AUUGAACGCUGGCGGCAGGCCUAACACAUGCAAGUCGAGCGGCGCGGCGGACGGGUGAGUAAUGCCUAGGAAUCUGCCUGGUAGCGGGGGAUAACGUCCGGUAACGGGCGCUAAUACCGCUUACUAUCAGAUGAGCCUAGGUGGGAUUAGCUAGUUGGUGGGGUAAAGGCCUACCAAGGCGACGAUCCGUAGCUGGUCUGAGAGGAUGAUCAGUCACACUGGAACUGAGACACGGCCCAGACUCCUACGGGAGGCAGCAGUGGGGAAUAUUGGACAAUGGGCGAAAGCCUGAUGCAGCCAUGCCGCGUGUGUGAAGAAGGUCUUCGGGUUGUAAAGCACUUUAAGUUGGGAGGCGUUACCAGCAGAAGAAGCACCGGCUAACUCCGUGCCAGCAGCCGCGGUAAUAC